rnacentral:rRNA from 1 species
GAUGAACGCUGGCGGCGUGCCUAAUACAUGCAAGUCGAGCGAACGGACGAGAAGCUUGCUUCUCUGAUGUUAGCGGCGGACGGGUGAGUAACACGUGGAUAACCUACCUAUAAGACUGGGAUAACUUCGGGAAACCGGAGCUAAUACCGGAUAAUAUUUUGAACCGCAUGGUUCAAAAGUGAAAGACGGUCUUGCUGUCACUUAUAGAUGGAUCCGCGCUGCAUUAGCUAGUUGGUAAGGUAACGGCUUACCAAGGCAACGAUGCAUAGCCGACCUGAGAGGGUGAUCGGCCACACUGGAACUGAGACACGGUCCAGACUCCUACGGGAGGCAGCAGUGGGGAAUCUUCCGCAAUGGGCGAAAGCCUGACGGAGCAACGCCGCGUGAGUGAUGAAGGUCUUCGGAUCGUAAAACUCUGUUAUUAGGGAAGAACAUAUGUGUAAGUAACUGUGCACAUCUGGACGGUACCUAAUCAGAAAGCCACGGCUAACUACGU